UACGUAGGGUGCAAGCGUUUAAUCGGAAUUACUGGGCGUAAAGCGUGCGCAGGCGGUUUUGUAAGCCAGAUGUGAAAUCCCUGGGCUUAACCUGGGAAUGGCAUUUGGGACUGCAAGGCUCGAGUGCGGCAGAGGAGACUGGAAUUCCUGGUGUAGCAGUGAAAUGCGUAGAUAUCAGGAGGAAUACCGAUGGCGAAGGCAGGUCUCUGGGCUGACACUGACGCUCAUGCACGAAGGCGUGGGGAGCAAACAGG
rnacentral:rRNA from 1 species